rnacentral:rRNA from 1 species
ACUCCUACGGGAGGCAGCAGUGGGGAAUAUUGCACAAUGGGGGAAACCCUGAUGCAGCCAUGCCGCGUGUGUGAAGAAGGCCUUCGGGUUGUAAAGCACUUUCAGUAGGGAGGAAGGUAGUGUAGUUAACACCUGCACUAUUUGACGUUACCUACAGAAGAAGCACCGGCUAACUCCGUGCCAGCAGCCGCGGUAAUACGGAGGGUGCGAGCGUUAAUCGGAAUUACUGGGCGUAAAGCGCAUGCAGGCGGCCUGUUAAGUCAGAUGUGAAAGCCCGGGGCUUAACCUCGGAAUUGCAUUUGAAACUGGCAGGCUAGAGUCUUGUAGAGGGGGGUAGAAUUUCAGGUGUAGCGGUGAAAUGCGUAGAGAUCUGAAGGAAUACCAGUGGCGGAAGGCGGCCCCCUGGACAAAGACUGACGCUCAGAUGCGAAAAGCGUGGGGGAGCAAAACAGGAUUAGAUACCCUGGUAGGAUAGCG